UCGAGAAUUUUUCACAAUGGGCGAAAGCCUGAUGGAGCGACGCCGCGUGGGGGAUGAAGGGCUUCGGUCCGUAAACCCCUGUCAUUCGGGAUCAACCCCUGAGUCCUAACACGGCUCAGGCUGAUAGUACCGGAAGAGGAAGGGACGGCUAACUCUGUGCCAGCAGCCGCGGUAAUACAGAGGUCCCAAGCGUUGUUCGGAUUCACUGGGCGUAAAGGGUGCGUAGGUGGUGGGACAAGUUCGAUGUGAAAUCUCCGGGCUCAACCCGGAAACUGCAUUGAAAACUGUUCUGCUUGAGGGUCGGAGGGGAGACUGGAAUUCUCGGUGUAGCAGUGAAAUGCGUAGAUAUCGAGAGGAACACCAGUGGCGAAGGCGAGUCUCUGGACGACUCCUGACACUGAUGCACGAAAGCUAGGGGAGCAAACA
rnacentral:rRNA from 1 species